rnacentral:rRNA from 1 species
AUGGCAAUUGUCCAUACUUACGGGAAGCCUGACAUCUUCUUGACCAUGACCUGCAACCCUAACUGGGAAGAGAUAACGAAUGAGUUGUUUCCUGGUCAGACAGCGCAAGACCGACCUGAUCUUGUGGCUCGUGUGUUCCAUGGCAAGCUAGAGGCUAUGAAAGAGAUGUUGUUCAAGAAGAAUAUCCUGGGUGUUGUUGUUGCACAUGUAUACGUAGUCGAGUUCCAAAAGAGGGGCCUCCCCCACGCACACUUUUUGUUGAUCAUGGAUUCUGCCUAUAAGCUUGUCGUUCCAGAGCAGUACGACCGACUCAUUUGUGCCGAGCUCCCAGACAAGCAAAAGUAUCCUGAACUCCACGCCUUGGUGGUGAAACAUAUGAUGCAUGGACCAUGCGGUGCUCUCAACCCCAAAAAUGUUUGCAUGCAACAGAACGAGUGCAAGUGCAGAUACCCGCGGUCGUUCAAUGAAAACACGGCACAGGGCAAGGACUCAUACCCUGUUUAUCGUCGUCGAGAUAAUGGUCGGCAGGCUAAGGUCCGGGGUAAAAUGUUGGACAACAGAUGGGUAGUGCCGUAUAACCCUUACCUGCUGUAG